rnacentral:rRNA from 1 species
GACGAACGCUGGCGGCGUGCUUAACACAUGCAAGUCGAACGGAAAGGCCCUGCUUUUGCGGGGUGCUCGAGUGGCGAACGGGUGAGUAACACGUGAGUAACCUGCCCUUGACUUUGGGAUAACUUCAGGAAACUGGGGCUAAUACCGGAUAGGAGCUCCUGCUGCAUGGUGGGGGUUGGAAAGUUUCGGCGGUUGGGGAUGGACUCGCGGCUUAUCAGUUUGUUGGUGGGGUAGUGGCUUACCAAGGCUUUGACGGGUAGCCGGCCUGAGAGGGUGACCGGCCACAUUGGGACUGAGAUACGGCCCAGACUCCUACGGGAGGCAGCAGUGGGGAAUAUUGCACAAUGGGCGGAAGCCUGAUGCAGCAACGCCGCGUGCGGGAUGACGGCCUUCGGGUUGUAAACCGCUUUCGCCUGUGACGAAGCGUGAGUGACGGUAAUGGGUAAAGAAGCACCGGCUAACUACGUG